UCCUACGGGAGGCAGCAGUGAGGAAUAUUGGUCAAUGGGCGCAGGCCUGAACCAGCCAAGUCGCGUGAGGGAAGACGGUCCUACGGAUUGUAAACCUCUUUUGCCGGGGAGCAAAGGGGCCAUUGAUGGCAGGAUGAGCGUACCCGGAGAAAAAGCAUCGGCUAACUCCGUGCCAGCAGCCGCGGUAAU
rnacentral:rRNA from 1 species